ensembl:lncRNA
GAGGCCGGGACUCGGUCGCCUCUCCCUGCCUGCUCAGCGAGGGAGGACCUGCAGGGGAGGAGGAACCAAACAUCAACAAGCGGCCCGGACGCUAGAAGCCCAAGAAGAAGAGAUGAGGAAAGCGCUCGGAGGACGCGCUUCCGGAAAAACAAACCAUAAUGGAAAAUGUCUCUAAAAGCGGAGAGAAAGACGGAGCACUCGUAUGGAAUCCGCCUAAAAGUACGCUGUGUCAUUUACAUAGGAAGAAACAAUAACCCCUCUCAUUUGUUCCCCUACAUGAUAAUCCAUGUUUCCCUUGCUCGCUCUACUUGCUUGAGGAGGUCUGGCUCUGUCAUCAAUGGCCACCUGGUGGAGUGGAUUUGGCCCCGAUCCCUGCCCGUCUUAUCAGGAGCGGUAGGCUCUCUAAUCUGACGCCCAUGCAGCUGUUCCCCACUUGGGGCAGGCCUCCUGUUUAGCUCUAAAAAUACCCCAGUAGCCUCUUCUGCAGAGGAGAGCUUCACCGUACCUCCAUCAGCCGGAGCACACAUACGGAACAGAACUCGAGCACCAGGUCGACCGUCUGCUGAGCAGCACUUUCCAAACGCCCUUCCCAGCUCAUGUCAGACUGAUACUGAGCUUGGUUAUUCUCCAUCUCCCUCCCUCCAGUAAACUUAAUAACAUUUAAUGACGGCGUUUGCUUUUCUUCAGGGUGUAGCCAGUCAUAGUUUACGUCCAACGCAUAUCAGGUUGCCAUUAGAAGGACAGGACUUUCUAAUUGAUACCUGAUGUCUGCGGCAGGAGGAAAUGUCCAGCAAAUGCAAGUAUGAACUUUGAUUGGGUCUCAUUCCUCUUGUUACGAAUCCUCAGUCCGUGACUACCAGCAGACCAAAGUUAUACAUAUGUCACCAUCUGUAGCCAACUUGGCACAUGAAGCCUGGAAAUAGAAACAACCAAAGCACAACCUAGUCGGGGCAAACUGUAAUAAGUCUUCAAAAGAUGGCCUCCAAAAAUGUAAAAGUAUUACCCCGGAGUAUUUGCUGGUUUAAUGGCUUGUAUGUGGAGAUAUGCCAGCUAACCCACUCAGAAUUUACAAAGCCAGUCCAGUUGUUUAAUGUCGUGGUUUUCUACCACAGUCGAACAAAACUGAUUCCCCAACCUACACGCACAGACAUUUAACGUGAUCUACGGGAAAAGGCUGGACAGGAAAGACCGCAAGUCAGGGGAGGGUGUCUAAUGAUAAACAGAAAGCUGUAAACAAAACCAGCUGAAAGUCCUCAGAAAAGUGUUUUUCUAAUGCGGUAACAAUGGAGGGACCGUUGCUGUCAAAGAGCCAGCAGCUACCUCAUACUGUCCAGACACACACACACACACCCAACAACACAUGACAUCUACUGUAAACACAUACUUCAUGAAUAAAAUAAUUCCCUUC